rnacentral:rRNA from 1 species
UACGUAGGGUGCGAGCGUUGUCCGGAAUUAUUGGGCGUAAAGGGCGCGUAGGCGGCUAGAUGUGUCAAAGGUGAAAUCCCUCGGCUCAACUGAGGAACUGCCUUUGAAACUGUCUGGCUUGAGGCCGGGAGAGGGUAGCGGAAUUCCCAGUGUAGCGGUGAAAUGCGUAGAUAUUGGGAGGAACACCAGUGGCGAAGGCGGCUACCUGGACCGGUUCUGACGCUGAGGCGCGAAAGCGUGGGUAGCAAGCAGG